CGACCGCGUGAACGAUGAAGGCCUUCGGGUCGUAAAGUUCUGUUGUUAGGGAAGAACAAGUACCAGAGUAACUGCUGGUACCUUGACGGUACCUAACCAGAAAGCCACGGCUAACUACGUGCCAGCAGCCGCGGUAAUACGUAGGUGGCAAGCGUUGUCCGGAAUUAUUGGGCGUAAAGCGCGCGCAGGCGGUUUCUUAAGUCUGAUGUGAAAGCCCACGGCUCAACCGUGGAGGGUCAUUGGAAACUGGGAAACUUGAGUGCAGAAGAGGAGAGUGGAAUUCCACGUGUAGCGGUGAAAUGCGUAGAGAUGUGGAGGAACACCAGUGGCGAAGGCGACUCUCUGGUCUGUAACUGACGCUGAGGCGCGAAAGCGUGGGGAGCGAACAGGAUUAGAUACCCUGGUAGUCCACGCCGUAAACGAUGAGUGCUAAGUGUUAGAGGGUUUCCGCCCUUUAGUGCUGCAGCAAACGCAUUAAGCACUCCGCCUGGGGAGUACGGUCGCAAGACUG
rnacentral:rRNA from 1 species